rnacentral:rRNA from 1 species
AGAGUUUGAUCAUGGCUCAGGACGAACGCUGGCGGCGUGCUUAACACAUGCAAGUCGAACGGAGUUUAAAUCAGUAGUUUACUACAGAUUUAAACUUAGUGGCGGACGGGUGAGUAACACGUGGGCAACCUGCCCUAAAGAGGGGGAUAACACCGAGAAAUCGGUGCUAAUACCGCAUAAAAUUAGAGCUUCGCAUGGAGCUUUAAUCAAAGGAGUAAUCCGCUUUAGGAUGGGCCCGCGUCUGAUUAGCUAGUUGGUGAGGUAGAGGCUCACCAAGGCGACGAUCAGUAGCCGAUCUGAGAGGAUGACCGGCCACACUGGAACUGAGACACGGUCCAGACUCCUACGGGAGGCAGCAGUGGGGAAUAUUGCACAAUGGGGGAAACCCUGAUGCAGCAACGCCGCGUGGAGGAAGAAGGUUUUCGGAUUGUAAACUCCUGUCUUUUGGGACGAUAAUGACGGUACCAAAAGAGGAAGCCACGGCUAACUACGUGCCAGCAGCCGCGGUAAUACGUANGUGGCGAGCGUUGUCCGGAAUUACUGGGCGUAAAGGGCGCGUAGGCGGCCUGUUAAGUCAGAUGUGAAAACCCCAGGCUCAACCUGGGGACUGCAUAUGAAACUGAUGGGCUAGAG